CCUACGGGUGGCAGCAGUGAGGAAUAUUGGUCAAUGGGCGUAAGCCUGAACCAGCCAAGUCGCGUGAGGGAUGAAGGUUCUAUGGAUCGUAAACCUCUUUUAUAAGGGAAUAAAGUGCGGGACGUGUCCCGUUUUGUAUGUACCUUAUGAAUAAGGAUCGGCUAACUCCGUGCCAGCAGCCGCGGUAAUACGGAGGAUCCGAGCGUUAUCCGGAUUUAUUGGGUUUAAAGGGUGCGUAGGCGGCCUUUUAAGUCAGCGGUGAAAGUCUGUGGCUCAACCAUAGAAUUGCCGUUGAAACUGGGAGGCUUGAGUAGGUUUGAGGUAGGCGGAAUGCGUGGUGUAGCGGUGAAAUGCUGAGAUAUCACGCAGAACCCCGAUUGCGAAGGCAGCCUACCAGGCCAAGACUGACGCUGAUGCACGAAAGCGUGGGGAUCGAACAGGAUUAGAUACCCGAGUAGUC
rnacentral:rRNA from 1 species